UUCUUCAACAACUGCAGCCACCUCGGUAGCUCGCCAAACAACAACGUCGGAACAUUAAAGUACUUUGGGACAAUUUCGUGGUUUAUUUGCCACUAUGAUUUAAACAUACUUAUGUGGAAACAACUAGCUACCCAAUUUAAUUUAAUAUUUACGUUGUAAGUCAACGAGCUGGCUGGUUAAGUUAGCACUAGUCGAGUCGCCAAUGCUAACUAGCUAUUAUCCCCGACCAUGAGUUCACUAAGCUACUCUCCUCCUGCUGAAGAAGAGGUGGUCUGCUGGACAGAGAAAGAAGCUCUCGUCAAUGAGGAGGCGGAGGAGAAAGAUGUUUACAAUACAUAAACAAGUAGAGGGUGAGGCUGUUACAGUGAAAGAAGAGGAAGACGCCUUCAGAGUGAAAGAGGAGGAGGAUGUUACUGUAAAAGAAAAUAAGGAAGAUGCAGUUUUUGGAGUGGAGGAUGAAGUGAAAGAAGAUGAAGACGUUUUAGGAAUGAAGGAUGAAGAGGGGGAGAUUACUGUCACAGAGGACGAAGAAGAGAAGACUGGAGAACUGAUUAACACCAGUAAAUACAGAGAGAGACGGGACAAUCGUGGAUCCUUUGUGGAGCCUCAACAACAUGAUGCUGACGAGGCAGAGAAAAGUCUCUCCGCAUCAGAACAACUCAAGAAAUACCAGCAGAGACCUACCAGGAAGAAAUCUCACUGCUGCUCUGACUGUGGGAAAAUAUUAAACUCUUCAGUAAAACUUAAAAUACAUCAAAUAAUUCACACUGGAGAGAAACCUUUUGGCUGUACUCAAUGUGGGAAGAGUUUUAUUCGGCAACAAACUCUGAAAUCACACAGAGAAUACACACUGGGGAGAAAUCUUAUAGCUGUGAUCAAUGUGGGAAGAGUUUUACUCAGCUAAACACCAGCAGACACACACAAUUCUACACAAAUUACCUUCAUAAUAGCAAAGAACAAAUGUGUGUCUGAGGGGAAAAUAACUGUCAUACAGCCAAAAGUGGUGAGAAAUUACACCAAUACCAGUGGAGAAUUUUCACUAAUGUAAAUAAACAUAGAUGAUGGAACAUAUUCCCUUUUGCUGACGUGAUGAACCACUAAGGGAACAUAAAUAUUUACCAUAAAAACAAUCUGUGACCUCUCACCUCUCUGGCUGUAGAAGUGUUCUUCCUAACCAGUCCCUCAACAGCUCUCUGACUGAGCUCCACCCUCACUGGGUCUUCAGAGGAGAGGAAUGCUGAGGAGGGAUGGAAGGAUGAAUGGAUCAGUCAGUCAAUAAUGUGUCGAGCUGCUGUUUAUGCAGUCUGACAAAAUCACUAUUUUAGUAGUUCAUUAAAGUAAAUAAGGCUUUAUGACUGCUGAAUACCAACUUUCAAUCACUUAGAUCAUGUAUUUUCAGAUAGAGAUACAUCCAUGGGACGUCCCUAGCCCAUUGAAGUUGACAUUUAAAAUUGUUACGGUAGGGUUUAGGGUAGGGAUGUCCCAAGGAUCCUGGAUGUGCAUUUUUUUUUACAUAGCAGGUGAUGGGUUCUGACUUCUGAACUUGAAAAUAUGAAAUAUCCUUAUGUGAAAUUGAAUGAAACAAUAUGUAUGUUGAUGCUAAUAUGAUGUACAAUAUUCCAUGAUGUUUCUAUAUGAUAACAAUAGCGUAAUAUAUUUAAUAUGCCAUAUAGCGUUUCAAUAAUUACUUUAAAUUAACUUAAUCAUUAUGAUUCAACAUCAGUUCACCGUCUCACCUCAUACUGCAUUGGAGCAGCAGCAGCUGACUGCCCGCUUCAACGUCAGUUCACAGUCUCACCUCAUACUGUAUUGGAGCAGCAGCAGCUGACUGCCCGGUUCAACGUCAGUUCACAGUCUCACCUCAUACUGUAUUGGAGCAGCAGCAGCUGACUGCCCGGUUCAACAUCAGUUUACCGUCUCACCUCAUACUGUAUUGGAGCAGCAGCAGCUGACUUGAUCGUUGAUGCUAAUCAUCGUGUUAUGAAUCUGAGAAUAAAUAGAUCCGACUACAACUGCAAAAAUGAAGGGUUCAACUGGAGUUGUUCUCAGAUUCCCUAAAAACCGCAGGGUUCCUUGGCCAAUGAAAAACAGCCCCAAAAGGUUCUUCAAAGAAAUUGUUAGAAGGUGGGCUCAUCGAGGAACCUCCGUUGUUGCUGGACUUCUUCCGGGAACUUCGCAAAUACAACUGAAAACGAUGGUGACAAGUUUGUAUGAGACAACAGUUAAAAAGGACAAAACAUGGACGCAAUGCGACUGGGAUCAAGAAGGUACAGAUAUAUUGUAGGACAGCUGCAUUUGAAGUGUACAUUAAACCUACAUAGCAGUCAAUACAAACUGAAACCUAUUAGCAUACAAAUGUGUGCAAAUGAUCUUUUCAGAUCUUCUAAGAAAUUAAUCAAGUCCAUGAAAUGAAUGUAGACAAAAAUAUAAUUCAAGGUCAACAUAGGUGUGCAAAAAUACAAUUCAAGGACUAGAGAGAGAGGCGAGGCAGAGGUGAGGACAUCAUCCUGCUAUUUUGACAGUCCCUGAUGGACAAUACAGAAAAGGCCUGGAGACCACAGCAGCGAUUCUGCUCUUGCCCAACCUCUUCAAUGAGGACCCGAGAUGCCUUUAUGUACAUGUCAAAAUUUCACCGCUCUUCACUCCUUUACUGCACAUCGGCAGAAAUCCAUUUCACCGUGAGAGUGAAAUCCCGCUGGCCUUUAAUGGGGAGAACAUCCACGCCCUCGAGGACGUCUCCAUGGGACUUGGGGCUCUGCUACGGCUGUAUUUUUUUAUUAUCCCUUAAAUUUCCCAAAAAUGUCAGAAAAACACUUGUUCUUAAGUUACUGUGUUCUGGGGAGAAGAGAAGUUGGGGUGAAGUUACCAGGGCUGGUCAUAAAGAUGGCAAACUUCCUAACGUAACUAAGUAGAUACAAUACACACACUAAAGCUGAAAAAUCUGCAUUUAGCAUCAAGUCUACAAUACUGUUAUUUUACAUAUGAUUUAUUUUUAAUGUAUGCUGUUUUUAUUGUACAUCAUUAUUUAUAUAUACACUGCUCAAAAUAAUAAAGGGAACACUAAAAUAACACAUCAUAGAUCUGAAUGAAUUAAAUAUUCUUAUUAAAUACUUUCUUCUUUACAUUGUUGAAUGUGCUGACAACAAAAAUCACACAAAAAUGAUCAAUGGAAAUCAAAUGUAUCAACCCAUGGAGGUCUGGAUUUGGAGUCACACUCAAAAUUAAAGUGGAAAACCACACUACAGGCUGAUCCAACUUUGAUGUAAUGUCCUUAAAACAAGUCAAAAUGAGGCUCAGUAGUGUGUGUGGCCUCCACGUGCCUGUAUGACCUCCCUACAACGCCUGGGCAUGCUCCUGAUGAGGUGGCGGAUGGUCUCCUGAGGGAUCUCCUCCCAGACCUGUACUAAAGCAUCUGCCAACUCCUGGACAGUCUGUGGUGCAACGUGGCGUUGGUGGACAGAGCGAGACAUGAUAUCCCAGAUGUGCUCAAUUGGAUUCAGGUCUGGGGAACAGGCGGGCCAGUCCAUAGCAUCAAUGCCUUCCUCUUGCAGGAACUGCUUUCACACUCCAGCCACAUGAGGUCUAGCAAUGUCUUGCAUUAGGAGGAACCCAGGGCCAACCGCACCAGUAUAUGGUCUCACAAGGGGUCUGCGGAUCUCAUCUCAGUACCUAAUGGCAGUCAGGCUACCUCUGGCGAGCACAUGGAGGGCUGUGUGGCCCCCCAAAGAAAUGCCACCCCACACCAUGACUGACCCACCGCCAAACCGGUCAUGCUGGAGGAUGUUGCAGGCAGCAGAACGUUCUCCACGGCGUCUCCAGACUCUGUCACGUCUGUCACGUGCUCAGUGUGAUCCUGCUUUCAUCUGUGAAGAGCACAGGGCGCCAGUGGCGAAUUUGCCAAUCUUGGUGUUCUCUGGCAAAUGCCAAACGUCCUGCACGGUGUUGGGCUGUAAGCACAACCCCCAUAUGUGGACGUCGGGCCCUCAUUACCACCCUCAUGGAGUCUGUUCUGACCGUUUGAGCAGACACAUGCACAUUUGUGGCCUGCUGGAGGUCAUUUUGCAGGGCUCUGGCAGUGCUCCUCCUGCUCCUCCUUGCACAAAGCUUGAGGUAGCGGUCCUGCUGCUGGGUUGUUGCCCUCCUACGGCCUCCUCCACGUCUCCUGAUGUACUGGCCUGUCUCCUGUUAGCGCCUCCACUACGCUGACAGACACAGCAAACCUUCUUGCCACAGCUCGCAUUGAUGUGUCAUCCUGGAUGAGCUGCACUACCUGAGCCACUUGUGUGGGUUGUAGACUCUGUCUCAUGCUACCACUAGAGUGAAAGCACCACCAGCAUUCAAAAGUGACCAAAACAUAAGCCAGGAAGCAUAGGAACUGAGAAGUGGUCUGUUGUUACCACCUGCAGAACCACUCGUUUAUUGGGGGUGUCUUGCUAAUUGCCUAUAAUUUCCACCUGUUGUCUAUUCCAUUUGCACAACAGCAUGUGAAAUGUAUUGUCAAUCAGUGUUGCUUCCUAAGUGGACAGUUUGAUUUCACAGAAGUGUGAUUGACUUGGAGUUACAUUGUGUAGUUUGUGUUCCCUUUAUUUUUUAUUUUCCCUUUAUGUCAUGAAAAGCACUAUACAAAGUAAAUGUAUUAUUUAUUAUGGUCUGACAUGUCUGCAGAAAUGUUGCAAUUGUGUAAGGUGUUUUGUUUGGUAAAUUGUUUUGUAAAUAUUGAUUCACAU